rnacentral:rRNA from 1 species
AGAUACCCGGGUAGUCCUAGCCGUAAACAAUGGAUACUAGGUGUUGAACAGAUCGACCUGUGCAGUACUAAAGCUAACGCGUUAAGUAUCCCGCCUGGGAAGUAUGCACGCAAGUGUGAAACUCAAAGGAAUUGACGGGGGCCCGCACAAGCGGUGGAGCAUGUGGUUUAAUUCGAUGCAACGCGAAGAACCUUACCAGGGUUUGACAUGAUACGAAUCUUUUUGAAAAAAGAGAUGUGCCUUUUUGGAACGUAUACACAGGUGGUGCAUGGCCGCCGUCAG